rnacentral:RNase_P_RNA from 1 species
AGUAAGCUGUGCGGCAGCGCGGUCGUUAUAGGCCGUGAGGAAAGUCCGGGCAUCAUAGAGCAUGGUAGCUGAUAACGUCAGCCGGAGGCGACUCCCGAGAAAGUGCAACAGAAAAUUACCGCCGAUUUUUAUCGGUAAGGGUGGAAAGGUGAGGUAAGAGCUCACCGACGGCGCAGAGAUGUGACCGCCGUGUAAACCUUACCAGAUGCAACUCCAAUGGCAGUGUGUAUGUCAAUGGCUGCUCGUCAGGCAUAGCAUUGUAGGAGGCUAAAGCUUUGCGGCAACGUAAAGCGCAGAUAGAUUGCCGUACACGACAAAACCCGGCUUAUAGGCUUGCUCAU